GCCAACAUAGUGUAGUGGUUUUGAACAUUGGACUACAACUCUGGAGAACAGGGUUCAAAUCCCCGCUCAAGCA